AGUGAACGCUGGCGGUAGGCCUAACACAUGCAAGUCGAACGGCAGCACAGUAAGAGCUUGCUCUUACGGUUGGCGAGUGGCGGACGGGUGAGGAAUACAUCGGAAUCUACUUUUUCGUGGGGGAUAACGUAGGGAAACUUACGCUAAUACCGCAUACGACCUACGGGUGAAAGCAGGGGAUCUUCGGACCUUGCGCGAUUGAAUGAGCCGAUGUCGGAUUAGCUAGUUGGCGGGGUAAAGGCCCACCAAGGCGACGAUCCGUAGCUGGUCUGAGAGGAUGAUCAGCCACACUGGAACUGAGACACGGUCCAGACUCCUACGGGAGGCAGCAGUGGGGAAUAUUGGAUAAUGGGCGCAAGCCUGAUCCAGCCAUACCGCGUGGGUGAAGAAGGCCUUCGGGUUGUAAAGCCCUUUUGUUGGGAAAGAAAAGCAGCAGGUUAAUACCCCGCUGUUCUGACGGUACCCAAAGAAUAAGCACCGGCUAACUUCGUG
rnacentral:rRNA from 1 species